rnacentral:rRNA from 1 species
UGGGGAAUAUUGCACAAUGGGGGAAACCCUGAUGCAGCGACGCCGCGUGAGCGGAGAAGGUUUUCGAAUCGUAAAGCUCUGUCCUAUGAGAAGAUAAUGACGGUAUCAUAGGAGGAAGCCCCGGCUAAAUACGUGCCAGCAGCCGCGGUAAUACGUAUGGGGCGAGCGUUGUCCGGAAUUAUUGGGCGUAAAGGGUACGUAGGCGGUCUAUUAAGUCAGGUGUGAAAGCGUGAGGCUUAACCUCAUUAAGCACUUGAAACUGAUAGACUUGAGUGAAGGAGAGGAAAGUGGAAUUCCUAGUGUAGCGGUGAAAUGCUUAGAUAUCAUGACGAACUCCGAUUGCGAAGGCAGCUUACGGGAGCGCAACUGACGCUAAAGCUCGAAGGUGCGGGUAUCGAACAGG